GGGCCUGUGGUCUAGUGGUUAGAGAGCUUAGGAAAAAUUAAUCUUGGCUCUCCCGCAAAUGACGUUACCUUGACAUGGUAAAGAUCGGCAGUUCGAUUCUGCCCAGGCCCA
rnacentral:tRNA from 1 species